rnacentral:rRNA from 1 species
UACGGAGGGAGCUAGCGUUGUUCGGAAUUACUGGGCGUAAAGCGCACGUAGGCGGCUUUUUAAGUCAGGGGGUGAAAACCCGGGGCUCAACCCCGGGCCUGCAUUCGAUACGGGCAGACUAGAGUUCGGUAGGGGAGUCUGGAAUUCCUGGUGUAGCGGUGAAAUGCGCAGAUAUCAGGAGGAACACCGGUGGCGAAGGCGGGACUCUGGGCCGAUACUGACGCUGAGGAGCGAAAAGCGUGGGGGAGCGAACAGG